AGACCCGAAACCCGGUGAUCUAGCCAUGGGCAGGUUGAAGGUUGGGUAACACUAACUGGAGGACCGAACCGACUAAUGUUGAAAAAUUAGCGGAUGACUUGUGGCUGGGGGUGAAAGGCCAAUCAAACCGGGAGAUAGCUGGUUCUCCCCGAAAGCUAUUUAGGUAGCGCCUCGUGAAUUCAUCUCCGGGGGUAGAGCACUGUUUCGGCAAGGGGGUCAUCCCGACUUACCAACCCGAUGCAAACUGCGAAUACCGGAGAAUGUUAUCACGGGAGACACACGGCGGGUGCUAACGUCCGUCGUGAAGAGGGAAACAACCCAGACCGCCAGCUAAGGUCCCA
rnacentral:rRNA from 1 species